UGGGGAAUAUUGGACAAUGGGGGCAACCCUGAUCCAGCCAUGCCGCGUGAGUGAUGAAGGCCUUCGGGUUGUAAAGCUCUUUUGGCGGGGACGAUGAUGACUGUACCCUCAGAGAAAGCCCCGGCUAACUACGUGCCAGCAGCCGCGGUAAUACGUAGGGGGCAAGCGUUGUCCGGAUUUACUGGGUGUAAAGGGCGCGCAGGCGGGAUAAAAAGUCAGUGGUGAAAUCCUACAGCUUAACUGUAGAACUGCCUUUGAUACUUUUAUUCUUGAGUUCGGGAGAGNGAGACGGAAUUCCAGGUGUAGUGGUGAAAUACGUAGAUAUCUGGAAGAACACCAGUUGCGAAGGCGGUCUCUUGGUCCGACACUGACGCUGAGGCGCGAAAGCGUGGGGAGCAAACA
rnacentral:rRNA from 1 species